rnacentral:tRNA from 1 species
AACUACUUAGCUAAUAAAAGCUUUUGUUUUGAAAACUUAUUAUAGGUAAUUUCCUAGUAGUUU